CGUAGGGGGCGAGCGUUGUCCGGAUUUAUUGGGCGUAAAGCGCGCGUAGGCGGUGCGGUAAGUCGGCCGUGAAAUCUCCCAGCUCAACUGGGAGGGGUCGGGCGAGACUGCCACACUGGAGGUGGGCAGAGGCCGGUGGAAUUCCGGGUGUAGUGGUGGAAUGCGUAGAGAUCCGGAGGAACACCAGUGGCGAAGGCGGCCGGCUGGGCCUGGCCUGACGCUGAGGCGCGAAAGCGUGGGGAGCGAUCCGGAUUAGAUACCCGGGUAGUCCACGCCGUAAACGAUGGGCACUAGGUGUCGGGGGUAUCGACCCCCUCGGUGCCGGCGCUAACGCAAUAAGUGCCCCGCCUGGGGAGUACGGCCGCAAGGCUA
rnacentral:rRNA from 1 species